rnacentral:lncRNA from 1 species
AGCGAAGUCAUGGUCCCUAUUUAUAGGAUCAAAUUUGUGGGAGUGGAAAGGAGGGGGCAAGUGAAAAUUAAAUGUCACGAAGUGGGAUGGGCCGGAUGGCUGGCUUGAAGGACAUAACGGUGAGGUUUAAUUACCUGGUUUGAAUGGUGAAGAGAAGCGUUACAGAGGAAGUUUCGUAACAAUGGAGAGCUAGGGCAUGCGAGAGGACAAAGAUGCUGAUA